GAUUUACUUAAUAAAUAAUGUUAACGUGGUAAAGUUAUAUUUUUAUUAUUAGGUGGUAAUGAAAUGUUUUUCGUUUUUUGUGAUAGCUAGUUUAUAGGUUAUAGUAUAUUUUAGUAUUGUAAUGUUAAUAUUAUAAAUUAUAAUUUAAUAUUAUUUAUUUUAUAAGGGAUAAGCUUUAUAUGAUGUAGUAGAACCAGAUAUAUGUAUUAUAUAUAUUUAAGUAGAAUUAAAAUGUUUUUCUUAUAAAUAUUAUAUAAUUAUAUUAUUUAAUUUGAUCUGUUCAAGUUGAUAGGCCUAUAAAUGUUUAAUAAUUAUAAUAAAUACAUAUAAUGUUAAUAUGAGUAUUUUUAAAUAUAAAAUUAUUAUAUUUAUUUGGAGUUGUAUAUUUAUAUAAUAAUAUUUUUUGGUGAAAUAAAAUAAAGGAAUUCGGCAAAUAUAAAUCUCGCCUGUUUAUCAAAAACAUGUCUCUUUGUUUUAAUUAAAUAAAGAG
rnacentral:rRNA from 1 species